rfam:Oryzias latipes DNA, chromosome1, strain: Hd-rR.
UUAUAGGCUUUUUUUAAAGCCACAGAGACCUUUUUUUCUACUUAUU